AUAUCAUUUGCAGCGCUGAGCGCGACUGUCCUUGUUCUUGGGUUGCUACUAUUAUUGAUGAUAAUACCUGGUGAGUUAUCCAAUGACUGCCGUGUUCACGUUGUAUCAUACGUAGCUUUCGUAGCGUACAAACGCAUUGUUCCAUUAACUGACUGCGAAUCGCGAACUAAUACAGAGCAGUCUUUUGUAGUAAGAAUUGUUUGUGCAACCACGGGAAAAGCUGCAAACACUUAGCAGGCAUCGAAAUGUACCGAGUGCAAGCUCGUGGGGCCGGGCCCUGCGGCUUCGGGGCUGCAGGUGUCCCGAAGCAGCCAGUCAGUCGACGCGAGCACUGCCGUCCCUAGCACUGCGGCGCACGCGGACACCGCUGCUGCCAUGGUUCCCAGGGCUGCUGCGCCGGCUGACGGGACUGGGGGAACGGGAUUGCCCUCAGUGGCGGCAGGGCUGCCUGCCGCCACCUCUGCGCUCCAGUCCAGGCUCCGGCCCCUCCACUGCUGCUGCUUCUUCCACGACCCCUGGCGCUGCGGCACCUGUAACAGGGGCUGGGGCGGCUGCGGCCGCGGCACUCACUGCACUGCUGCACCUGAGAGUGUCCCCACAACAAGGGCAUCCAUUCAGAGCUCCACGGGGCCAGGUGCUAAGUGUGCCCUCCGGGUAGUCAUCCACGACACCCUCGCAGUCCGUGUACAGUUCGAGUGGUUGCCGAAACGGAAACUGGACAAUGGAUGCCAUUUUGCUCCCAGGUGUCAAGAAGUGCAGAGCAGAACGCGUCCGCACUCAGGUACCUGCUCCUGAAUGACACAAGGUCGAACAGCUGCAAGAGCGACUGGUGCCACCGGAGAACAUGCUGGCCGUUUCGCUGGAGGUGGAGGUCCCACCCAGCCUUAGCGUCAGGUAGGCAGUUGAACUCUGUGGGACGCAUGUUAUGAAACGCCCGACAUGGCGUUCACCAACACACAGGGACAUGUACGCAUAUGGGUCACUCCCAAGUGAUGAUGGUCACAGGGCAGGUCCAGAUCCGCUCCCCGUCCGGGGAGCGCACGG
rnacentral:lncRNA from 1 species